GAUUUCCUGUGGCUAAGCUGGUAGAGCGUUGGGCUAACAACGCAAAGAUUGUGGGUUCAAAUCCCAGGGAAAACA